GCAAUAUAGAGGCAAGCUUAUGAAGUUACCCAGAAAUGCUCAUCUGUGGCUCAGAACCUCAGGUUUAUGCUCAAAUGACAGGAGCAGCUGAUUUUCACUGUUCCUUUGUUGUGACCUGGGAAUGCGCUGCUGGAUACGGUAGGAGCCUCCCCUUCCACGGGUCAAGCUGUACCAUUUGCCCCAAGCUCCAACCUUCCAAUCACUUAGUCUGCCUACCCAACCUCUGUCCUCACUCACCUCAUGAUUCCUGUGCAGUCAUCUAGCAAGAUGCUUGGCAUGUACUAAGCAUUCAGCAAAUACCCGUUGAAUGAGAAAUGAGCUAAUGGACUUGUCUGCAAGCAAAUGAGGCCAUGACUGAAUCUAGAUGGCUGGGAAGGAGCAGCCUGGGCUCAGGACGAUCUGCUGUCUACUUCUAAAGUGGCUCACUCUUCUUCAGCAACUGGACAUUCUCAGUAGUGGGAUCAUCCCUGGAUUGUUUAAGAAUGUGUCUGUGUGUGGGAAGGGAAGGGUCGUUGUAAGCUGCGAAUGUUCAUUUGAAAACUAA
rnacentral:lncRNA from 1 species